UGCUGAAAAACAGCUUUAACGCAUUCCGC
rnacentral:sRNA from 1 species